rnacentral:lncRNA from 1 species
AAAAACUUAGUCUAGGCCCAUGGUCUUGAACUACUGGACAUCUGAAUUUUGGUAGGUGCUGGAUUCAGGCAACUGAGGGGUGGCCUUGGGCACACUGUGUGCACAUAAAAGAAAGGGUUUGAGGUGAACUAAAAGGUAAAAGAGGGGAAGGUGCUAUUAAGAAACCAGAAGUGAGAGACUGUACAGGGUUGGUGGGAGGACUGGUUCAUGCUACAGACACUGACCCAGGUGAAACUUUUCUCUGAGUUAUUUCUAUGUUCAUGCAGGAAGACGAGAUUAUGAUCAGGUGGCACAGAAAUCUGCGAUGGUGAAAAAACCAGGUUGCCCCUGCAGAUUCGGUGUCUGAGGUAGAACGUAUGCCAGGGGUCUUGUAGGCACAUGUGUGGGUUUUUGGUGGGAAAGUCUAUGAGGAAAGGUAGCAUGGGCAACAAUCUUGAUGCCAAAGCCUUGUCCUGAGAGGGGCUUGGCCACAUCAACAUGCAGUGUGUAUGUUCAGUGGGUGAAAAACCUGUGGUGGCCUCAGGUUGGCAGGAGGGUAGAAGGCAUCUGUUCUCAGAACUUCUUCCCUCAGAGUCGUCGGUCCUUCUUACCAUGGGAGAAUGCCUGGAACCACAGGGCAGUGCAUGGUGUAGCAGCCUGUGUGCAGAGCAGAGCCUACCUUCCCCGAGACACCUGGAGUCUCUCUCCAGCAGAGGCCCCCACAUUGUCUUUCUCCUUACAACACUUUUGAUCCUAAAUGUGUAAAGUUCCCUGAAAACCCACUGCUUCUCCAACACCCAUUUGUUGCCCCAAAAUUUAAUUCUGACACAACUUAGAGUUCACACAGAUCCCAGAAAUUCAGGGCUCAGUCCCACAUCACCCCUCUCACUGUAGAGGAGAGUUACACAUCCCUGAAGCCCAUCUACACUUCUGAGCUACCUCCUAUAAAUCUGAGACUAGCAUAAACCCCUUUUCAAGUUAAAUAAUUUGAUAGAAUUACUAAAAAGAAAACCUCAACAAAUAACUGUAAUUAUAUUUACUACUUUAUUAUAAAAAUAUAACUCAGAAACAGCCAAAUGGAAGAGAUGUCUAGGGCAAGGAACAGUUGUGGGUGAAGGCAAUCCUGGAAAUAGCUAUAUUUAAAGAAAUUCCCCCAUUCUUUGCAUUCUCAAAGAACAGCUUAGUGAAGAGAAACGUGCUUCCCCUGAUGACUUUGAGGAUGCUCCCUGCUGUUUUUUUAACCUAUCACAAAAAUGGACACAGAUUGCAAAUUCCCAUUUUUAAAAAUGAACAACCAUUCAGUAAUUUAGUCUUCAGUGGUCCAAAUAACAUACUCUUAAAGAAACUUUGCUUGUUUCUCUUCUUCCAACCAGCCCCUGAACUUUGACUCACCCACAGCUUCAGCAAACCUACAACCCUUAUUUAUACAUACCCCUCCUAAGAACAGGCUGAGUUCAAGGUGAAACAUUAUCUUAUCUGGGAUCGCAUUUUGCUACCCUCCAUCGUGUGCUUCCUUUCCAACCUUCUUUGUAAACUUGUUUUCUCCUCCCUAUGAAAUAAGGCCCUUUUCCACCUAACCUUAGAGAUACUCAAAGAUCUAAUCAUUUGUACUUUUUCUUUGUUGCAAUACUUCUUAGGUAACUUCUUAGACCAAGUCUAGAAACAGUCUGAGGACAAUAACAAUUCCAUUCUAAAAAGAAUCUCCCAACAUUUCUUCUAUCUCAACCUCAACUGCAUCUGCCUGUGAACUUCCAGCUUACCAAGGCUCUAUAUCUUCUGGCAGUGACAAAGGCUCCUUCCAUGGUUGGUGUGAGUAGGCUUGGACACCUGCAGGGCAGACACCCAGGAAUAAUCAACUGGGCCUUCAGUGGUCCUCUUUUGCAGGGUCAAGGUGGGCCUUAGCUUUUAGUCAAUGGUCUAAGACUUCUAUUUACCAGUUAGUCAUUCAGUUAGUUUUCAAUUCAAAAAAUACUUCAUGUUUGAAGAAUCCAGCAAAAAUUAUUCAAAUCUAAGAUAUAAAAGAGAGGAAAUUACAGCCGGGCAUGGUGACUCAUGCCUGUAAUCCCUACAUUUUGGGAGGCCUAGGCGGGCAGAUGACCUGAGAUCAGGAGUUUGAGACCAGCCUGACCAACAUGAAGAAACCCCGUCUCUGCUAAAAAUACAAAAUUAUCCAGGUGUGGUGUUGUAUGCCUGUAAUCCCAGCUACUCGGGAGGCCGAGGCAGGAGAAUCGCUUGAACCCAGGAGUUGGAGGUUACAGUGAGCAGAUGUCUUGCCAUUGCACUCCAGCCUGGGCAAGAAGAGUGAAACUACAUCUAAAAAAUAACAGAAUAAAAUAAAAUAAAAACAUUAUAAGGGGCUUAUAUCUUAUAAUUCAUCAAGAAAAGCCAAAGUAUCUAUCCCUUUCAGAAAAUAAACAUGUAAUUUAAUUAUGUUCAAAACAAAUCAUUUAGUAAACAAUUAAUCAUAUGUGAACACUUCCAGGAGGUGCAAAGUCCCAGCUCCUAAAACUUAACAUUACCCUCAAACACCCAGAUGGCAGCAUAUGGAAUAGAGUUAUUCACUUUCACAAGUUCUCUCUUUUGAAAAAAAGAAUAACUUAUGUGAUAAAUUUAUGUAAUUUGACAAUUAAUCUACCUCAUGUGCUUGCAGAUAUGUAUUCAUUUCCUACCACCGUAGUGGAAGAGAGAUUUUCCCUAUCUUUACAACUGAUAGCAUUUCCAACAGUAAGCUGUGAGAUUCUGCUUGAAAUCACCUCUCAAACAAAUAAAAAACAGACCUGGGAGACAUGCUACACUCAUUCUGCUGAGGAAAUAGGCAUCAUAGCUGGGAAACGGAUUCACAAGACCCAGGCUGUUCCCUACAUAUGUUUCCUCCUCCGACAUCAGUUCAUCAGUCAAUCAAGCCAUGUGAGAGUGGAGGCCUUGUAUUCCCUAUUAUUCUUGGGCACUCUACUCCAAGUAGGAAAAGGCCAGGAGGUCCUGUUAAAGGAUGCACUCAGAGCCCGGGCUCCCUAACAUAUGAGAGUGCUAACCAGCAGGUGUAGACUUUUCAGGAGUGAAGAAUGAGGCAGGCAUUCCAAACCUGGACCUUCAUCACCUUUUGUUUCAUCUCAAGACAAUUCUGAGGGACUGUUUUGGAGCGUGUCUGGAAGGUGAACCUUGAAGAAGAGUGUGGGCUUUGAUGUGACUCAGUUGAGAUCUUUCAUGGGGAGGCAGGAAUUCAAUGCCCAGAAUCUGGGCUGGUGUCUUUGAGGUCAGUAGGUUGCGUCUUUGUAUCCAAGUCCAUUGUUACUAGGUUGGAGGCUGGAGAUUCUAAAUGGCUUCCAGACCAUCUCUCUGAUUCUCUUUGGGAGAUGGGGUCUGAAAGACAAUGUCAGUAGUUUUGGGAAAUUCUAGAAAGUGUGCUUGGAAACGUGGGAAGAGCUCUUGCCUAGUGCCUAAAUGCUCCAUUUGCAGCUCUAGCCAAGUAGAUACUUGGUAGGUAUAGAGCCGGGUUUGCGUUUAUAUCAGCAAAACCUAUGUCAGAGUUGAAGAAGUAGUCAGGAAAAAGCGUCUUGGUCGCAGGCCGGGGAACAUCUUAAAAGCAAACUUCUAGCCUGCUGACUCUUGGCAAUGAGUGUUGGAUCCUGGCUAAAGUGCCUUGAAUGCAGCAUGAGGCCAAUCCAUGAAUCCAACUUCUCAUGGAGAAAUGUUAAUAUUUUUUCAGUUUGAAUCAAUCAGGGUGAAACUACCAUGCUAUUGGUUUGCUUACUUUUUAUUAUUUCAUGUAAAAUCUAAGACAAAAUACAUUAAAUGCUUAUUGACAUAUGUAUUUAUUCUUCACCAGGCUGAUAAUAUCUGCCUAAUUUUAAACUUUCUUCCAUUUUGUAGGUUUCAACUUAUUCUAUUGUAAGAUACUGUUAAAUCUAAUAGAGGCAUUGUCACUUUUACGUAUAAUUUUAUUUUAUUUCAUAUAUUUCCUAUUGGCUUUUUACAUUUAAAUUAUGGAGCACUUCAUCAUAUAAAAAACUUCAAUUAUAUUUAAACAGUAAGUCUUUGGAUUUUUUUGCCUUGUAAUUUCCAUAUUACAUAAUAAUGAGAUAAACAUUAAUGUUUUCAGGGUACUUUAAAUUUUAGAUAAUUACUCAUUGUAUUCAUGUGAAAUUUGUUUUUACUGCAUGUGUGGGUUGGAGGACUGUUUUCACUUCUGAUUCAUCUUUACUCUUAUCUCAUCAGAGCUCAUACCUCUUGUAGUUGGGGGAUUGCAGUUUAUAAUUCCAAUAAAUGGGGCAAAUUCAAUAAUAACAUAAUACAAAUGAGUUUGAAUGCAGGACAGGUCUUCAAAGCAUACACAACAUGGGCCUACAUAUGUACAACAAUAAUAAUUUAUAAGUUACUGUUUGGAUGGAAAGUAAAAGUACAGAAAAUUUGUUAAAGGAAAUUAAAAUGGAGAUCAUGUCUCAAUAAUCUCUGAGCAGACAAAAUUAGUUAGGUCUCAUAAGUGAUCUCAACCUCGCUUGAUUUGCAAAUACAAACAAAACUUAAAUUAUUUCUUGUAGCUGCAUAUUGAAAAAAGAGAAAUGAAGCUCAACCAGUCAGAAGUAGCCAACAACCUUAUAUAAAUAGAAACUGUCCAACAAGGUAAACAGACAAACAAAAAACAAUAAAAAAAGUUGUGCUACCACCAAAUGAUUUCUUUGUUUCUACAUUUUUCAAAUAAAUACUUGCUUCUUACACUGUCAAUGAAGCACUCAAUAUCUUUCCGUCUGAUAUUUUAUAAUUUAUCAAUUGCUCUUACUCAAAUAAACACUUUGCAAUUUC